AAAAAAUCAAACAUGCAAAACUGAAAAGUGUUGUUUCUUGUGUCAGGAUUCAGGAGCUCAAGAGAGGCUGUUUGACACCAAAGUGUUAGUGUUUCACCUAGAAUAUACAAUGCUCUUGCUCCACAGAUUCCUAACCAAAUGACUCUCAGUUCUGUGUCAGAUGGCAUGAACCUGUACCAGUUUUUCCUUGGUGGUUGGGAGGCGGCUGACCUGGUGAUUAUCUUCUUGGAGAAGCUGGGCGUCUCUCUUAGCCCUCAGUGUGCUUCAAAGCCAUUCCUGACCCGUAUUCAGGAUCUCUUUCAAGAAAACUUGGGCUGGCAUAAUAUCCCUGAACCAGUCUAUACGUCCUCUCUUGAGGGAAUCACCACCCCGUAAGUCGUGACAAUCAUUCACCAUGUGCACGAUCAGGAACGGCUCAGUACUUGGAACAUGCUGUGAGCUUCAGCACCCCUGCACUGAAUUCUGGUACCAACACCUGACUUCAGCAUUUGAAGACUGAAUGUUGAAUCGAAAACCUGAAUGAUCUGGAGGAAUAAAUGAGAACAGAGCUCUGUGCUUUUCAAAAAGAGAUCUUGAUUUACAACUCUGGCAGAAAUUAUGUUUACAGGAGUCCAGACAGUGUUGGUUUAUAUCUUGGGCACUCUACUAAUAAAGUGUCCCUUAUAAAUAUCAAAAGCAUGACAUUAGAGAGGAAGGGAAAAUACUCUUGAGGACAGCUUUGUCCCAAGCACUGGGGCAUCAAUUACAUGCCCAGAUGUUUCUUUUUUAGGCCUCUCACUCUUCAGUAUUGAUUCAUGCAGCUUUGCAAGAGAUUAGUUCAGAAAGGAGGUGUGAAUAAAAGAUAAUAAUGAUUUAGUCAUCUGCAAGAGGAAAAUGUAAAACGCCUAAAUUCCCACCACUUACAGUACCGCUUGUAUGGCCAUACACCAGAAUCGUGUCUGGAUGGGCAUGUUAACAUUUUGCUUUAACAAUGAAGUCAUUGAUGUGAUGGAAGAUCUAGCUUAGGAGAAUACCUCAUCUACUGUGUAAGCUGAAGUUUUCAACGAGUUAAUAUUUCUUCAGUGUUGGACUCUAGUUUGAAAAGUUCUAUUUCAGCAAAAAAAGUAAGCAUCUUUCUUCAUUGUCCCAGAAAGAUUACACUGGAAAGUGAA
rnacentral:lncRNA from 1 species